rnacentral:lncRNA from 1 species
CAGUGUGCUCCGGGCCGGCCCACGUGACCUGGCGGAAAGAGCUCCCGCCCAUGACGGGAUGUGAAAAGUAUGCCUGGGGCGGGCGCCGGCUGGGCUGCCGCUACAGGAGGCUGGGAAGCUGAAAAGCUUCGUGGCCCCAGACGCCCCUGGACGUGGCUGGCUGAAGGCGGUGGAGGCAGCGAGGUUCCUGGCUCAGGCUGCAGGAACCUUCAGGCUCCAGCCCUGAGAAAUCCCUUCCUCUCGGCUUGUUCCAGAGCCCUAGGCCUCCACCCAGCCCCUGAGCCCCUGAGUGGGCCAGCACCACUGAGCGGGAUCCCCUGUGGUCCAAAGAGGCUGGAGGGGAAGGACGUGGGCUGGAGAGAAGACCCUCCUCCCUGGAGUGUGGGAGUGGAGGUGAGAAAAAAGAGGAGCUCUUCCCCUCCCUCCUGGCUUUCUCUCCUCCAGCUGUCUCUCUCCCCUGCCUGACUUGCAGACUCUCAUCUGCCUGGGAGACUUGCCCUACUUCUUCCUUCCCUCCUUCCCUCCCUCCCUCUCGGAAAAUAUUUUCAGGUUGCCACUUUCCUAACUAUUUCAAACCUGCUUUGAGAAUUCAGUUUCUCUCCUGGGGCCCUACUUGUGUCCCAGCUCACAAGUAACACUAAGACCAGUUUUGCAAGGCUCUCAUCAAGCAGACCAGGUAUGGAGAUGAAGAGUCCUGGGGCCUACAGUGUGUCUAGGACACCGUGUUCCAAAAGUUACAUCCUGCAUGUAAACUUCCCCCACGUUUGCCAGGCUUGCCUGAGCACAGGUGGCACUAGGGAGACAGCAAACUGCAACUUUAUUUUUGUCUCCCUCUGCCCCUUUAUAAUUUAGCAGUGAGGGAGCUCUACCCCACCCCUGCCCCCUGGUAAUUCACUCCCAAGGAAUCCAUCUUUAGUCAAAGGUGAGACUUCUCCUCUCCCCUGCACAGGUGUGAGGCUGGCAGGACCAUCUGCUCCCUCUCCCAGGCCACCUCUCUCCAGGUUGAAGGAAGGAGAGGUAAAGGGACAGAUGACAGGAGGGUCCUUACUUGUUUCACUGCUGGGACAAGGUGGACACUGAUGACGUCUCUUCUGUGGGGUGCCUUCUGCGGGCUCCUCAGGCUUUCCCAGGUUGAGUCCUCCAAUCGGAACAGUCGUGAAGCUGCUCUAUCCCUGGCCUUUUGCACACUUUCCUUUCACAGGCAAGUCCAGGCUUCACCCUCAGCUUCUGGUUGUCUGGUUUUCUGGUAUCCACCCUGCAUGGUUAUCGCUGCUGGGCUGCCCUCUUUCUGUUCUGAUCUUUCUGGCCCAGGCUGGCUGGGGCUGCAGAAUGUCCAGUACCUUCCAUCGACCAGGGAGGACAGGAAGGCCGUCAGCCCCCUUCCUGGACAGCAGAGCGCUCUCUCUUCCUCUUCCCCUUUUUCACGAUGCACGUCCAUGCCCUUUCUCCUCCCAGGGACGCUGGU